AGAGUUUGAUCCUGGCUCAGGAUGAACGCUAGCGGCAGGCUUAAUACAUGCAAGUCGUGGGGCAGCAUGGUGUAGCAAUACACUGAUGGCGACCGGCAAACGGGUGCGGAACACGUACGCAACCUUCCUUUAACUGGAGAAUAGCCCGGGGAAACCCGGAUUAAUACUCCGUAACAUUAUGAAGUGGCAUCACUUUAUAAUUAUAGCUCCGGCGGUUAAAGAUGGGCGUGCGCCUGAUUAGGUAGUUGGCGGGGUAACGGCCCACCAAGCCUACGAUCAGUAACUGGUGUGAGAGCACGACCAGUCACACGGGCACUGAGACACGGGCCCGACUCCUACGGGAGGCAGCAGUAAGGAAUAUUGGUCAAUGGACGCAAGUCUGAACCAGCCAUGCCGCGUGGAGGAUGAAGGUCCUCUGGAUUGUAAACUUCUUUUAUUUGGGAAGAAACCCCCGAUUUCUAUUGGGGUUGACGGUACCAGAUGAAUAAGCACCGGCUAACUCCGUGCCAGCAGCCGCGGUAAUACGGAGGGUGCAAGCGUUAUCCGGAUUCACUGGGUUUAAAGGGUGCGUAGGCGGGUUGGUAAGUCCGUGGUGAAAUCUCCAAGCUUAACUUGGAAACUGCCGUGGAUACUAUCAAUCUUGAAUUUAGUGGAGGUGAGCGGAAUAUGUCAUGUAGCGGUGAAAUGCUUAGAUAUGACAUAGAACACCCAUUGCGAAGGCAGCUCGCUACACUAUUAUUGACGCUGAGGCACGAAAGCGUGGGGAUCAACAGGAUUAGAUACCCNNGUAGUCC
rnacentral:rRNA from 1 species